rnacentral:rRNA from 1 species
CAGUCGCCGCGGUAAUACAGAGGGUGCGAGCGUUAAUCGGAUUUACUGGGCGUAAAGCGUGCGUAGGCGGCUUCUUAAGUCGGAUGUGAAAUCCCUGAGCUUAACUUAGGAAUUGCAUUCGAUACUGGGAAGCUAGAGUAUGGGAGAGGAUGGUAGAAUUCCAGGUGUAGCGGUGAAAUGCGUAGAGAUCUGGAGGAAUACCGAUGGCGAAGGCAGCCAUCUGGCCUAAUACUGACGCUGAGGCACGAAAGCAUGGGGAGCAAACAGGAUUAGAUACCCCCGUAGUCCCUGUCUCUUAUAC